GACGAUGUGCAGAAGAAGAAAGGAUCGUUUCAGCAUUCCAGUUUCCUAGCUGGUGGAGCCAUAACAUGUGCUGGACGAUUGGUGGUCAAAGAUGGAAUUCUGAAGGUAUGUUCAUGUAACCAUAAGAAUUAAGAAACAUCAAACAUGACUAGGAAUUAAUAUCACUUUUUCUUCUUCUCAAAAUACCUGACGGUGCUCCAUUUCUUCAGGCAAUAUGGCCAUACAGUGGCCACUACCUUCCAACGGAAGACAACUUCAGAGAUUUCAUUCGCUUCCUACAGGAGAACGACGUUAGCCUCACCGAUGUCAAGGUAAAUACCAGAUCAUAUCCAUAUCACGAGAUAGAUAAUUUCCUUACAAGAAUUACUACUGCAAGUAAAUCAUCAGAACUGUUGCAAAUGACGCGUGAUUUGUUUCAGAAAUCUGCUAUCGACAAACAGGACGAGUACCCGUUGCUGAGCAACUCUGAGACUCAGCCUGAACAUGUUGAGAAUAACGAUGCAGCAGGUGCCGCUGCUCAAGAUCUGACCGAAGUUGAGAUAGACGGCGUCCUCAC
rnacentral:lncRNA from 1 species